rnacentral:rRNA from 1 species
AUUGAACGCUAGCGGGAUGCUUUACACAUGCAAGUCGAACGGCAGCGCGGAACUUCGGUUCUGGCGGCGAGUGGCGAACGGGUGAGUAAUAUAUCGGAACGUGCCCAGUAGCGGGGGAUAACUACGCGAAGGCGUGGCUAAUACCGCAUACGCCCUACGGGGGAAAGGGGGGGAUCGCAAGACCUCUCACUAUUGGAGCG